rnacentral:rRNA from 1 species
UACGAAGGGGGCUAGCGUUGCUCGGAAUCACUGGGCGUAAAGCGCACGUAGGCGGCUUCUUAAGUCAGGGGUGAAAUCCUGGAGCUCAACUCCAGAACUGCCCUUGAUACUGAGGAGCUCGAGUCCGGAAGAGGUGAGUGGAACUCCGAGUGUAGAGGUGAAAUUCGUAGAUAUUCGGAGGAACACCAGUGGCGAAGGCGGCUCACUGGCUCGGUACUGACGCUGAGGUGCGAAAGCGUGGGGAGCAAACAGG